AUUGAACGCUGGCGGCAGGCCUAACACAUGCAAGUCGAACGGUAACAGGAAACAGCUUGCUGUUUCGCUGACGAGUGGCGGACGGGUGAGUAAUGUCUGGGAAACUGCCUGAUGGAGGGGGAUAACUACUGGAAACGGUAGCUAAUACCGCAUAACGUCGCAAGACCAAAGAGGGGGACCUUCGGGCCUCUUGCCAUCGGAUGUGCCCAGAUGGGAUUAGCUAGUAGGUGGGGUAACGGCUCACCUAGGCGACGAUCCCUAGCUGGUCUGAGAGGAUGACCAGCCACACUGGAGCUGAGACACGGUCCAGACCCCUACGGGAGGCAGCAGUGGGGAAUAUUGCACAAUGGGCGCAAGCCUGAUGCAGCCAUGCCGCGUGUAUGAAGAAGGCCUUCGGGUCGUAAAGUACUUUCAGCGGGGAUGAAGGGAGUAAAGUUAAUACCUUUGCUCAUUGACGUUACCCGCAGAAGAAGCACCGGCUAACUCCGU
rnacentral:rRNA from 1 species